CAGGACUCGCAAGACUCCUACAACCCUGUGAACCUACUAUACGAACGUUGCUUCGGCGGGUGCGCCCCGGGGAUUCGUUCCCGCGGCGCGUCAGCCCGCCGGCAGCCUACAAAUUCUGUUUCUUUGCGUAGGCAUCUCGAGAAAAACAAAUAAGUUA
rnacentral:misc_RNA from 1 species